UACGAAGGGGGCUAGCGUUGUUCGGAAUUACUGGGCGUAAAGCGCACGUAGGCGGACUAUUAAGUCAGGGGUAAAAUCCCGGGGCUCAACCCCGGAACUGCCUUUGAUACUGGUAGUCUCGAGUCCGGAAGAGGUGAGUGGAAUUCCGAGUGUAGAGGUGAAAUUCGUAGAUAUUCGGAGGAACACCAGUGGCGAAGGCGGCUCACUGGUCCGGUACUGACGCUGAGGUGCGAAAGCGUGGGGAGCAAACAGG
rnacentral:rRNA from 1 species